rnacentral:rRNA from 1 species
CGGAAAAAGAGGAGUGGCGAACGGGUGAGUAACACGUGGGUAACCUGCCCAUCAGAAGGGGAUAACACUUGGAAACAGGUGCUAAUACCGUAUAACAAUCGAAACCGCAUGGUUUUGAUUUGAAAGGCGCUUUCGGGUGUCGCUGAUGGAUGGACCCGCGGUGCAUUAGCUAGUUGGUGAGGUAACGGCUCACCAAGGCGACGAUGCAUAGCCGACCUGAGAGGGUGAUCGGCCACAUUGGGACUGAGACACGGCCCAAACUCCUACGGGAGGCAGCAGUAGGGAAUCUUCGGCAAUGGACGAAAGUCUGACCGAGCAACGCCGCGUGAGUGAAGAAGGUUUUCGGAUCGUAAAACUCUGUUGUUAGAGAAGAACAAGGAUGAGAGUAACUGUUCAUCCCUUGACGGUAUCUAACCAGAAAGCCACGGCUAACUACGUGCCAGCAGCCGCGGUAAUACGUAGGUGGCAAGCGUUGUCCGGAUUUAUUGGGCGUAAAGCGAGCGCAGGCGGUUUCUUAAGUCUGAUGUGAAAGCCCCCGGCUCAACCGGGGAGGGUCAUUGGAAACUGGGAGACUUGAGUGCAGAAGAGGAGAGUGGAAUUCCAUGUGUAGCGGUGAAAUGCGUAGAUAUAUGGAGGAACACCAGUGGCGAAGGCGGCUCUCUGGUCUGUAACUGACGCUGAGGCUCGAAAGCGUGGGGAGCAAACAGGAUUAGAUACCCUGGUAGUCCACGCCGUAAACGAUGAGUGCUAAGUGUUGGAGGGUUUCCGCCCUUCAGUGCUGCAGCUAACGCAUUAAGCACUCCGCCUGGGGAGUACGACCGCAAGGUUGAAACUCAAAGGAAUUGACGGGGGCCCGCACAAGCGGUGGAGCAUGUGGUUUAAUUCGAAGCAACGCGAAGAACCUUACCAGGUCUUGACAUCCUUUGACCACUCUAGAGAUAGAGCUUCCCCUUCGGGGGCAAAGUGACAGG